CGAACGCUGGCGGCGUGCUUAACACAUGCAAGUCGAACGAUGAAGCCCUUCGGGGUGGAUUAGUGGCGAACGGGUGAGUAACACGUGGGCAAUCUGCCCUGCACUCUGGGACAAGCCCUGGAAACGGGGUCUAAUACCGGAUACUGAUCGCCUUGGGCAUCCUUGGUGAUCGAAAGCUCCGGCGGUGCAGGAUGAGCCCGCGGCCUAUCAGCUUGUUGGUGAGGUAAUGGCUCACCAAGGCGACGACGGGUAGCCGGCCUGAGAGGGCGACCGGCCACACUGGGACUGAGACACGGCCCAGACUCCUACGGGAGGCAGCAGUGGGGAAUAUUGCACAAUGGGCGAAAGCCUGAUGCAGCGACGCCGCGUG
rnacentral:rRNA from 1 species